GGAAGAUGAAAAUUAGAACCAUUUCAGGGCUAAUUUUGCCAGAGACAGGAAGAAACUAAAUGAGAAAUCUGUUGGAGUUUACAGUACAAAAGUCAUUUCAGAAUGCCUAAUUUGAAAGAAACCUCGGGGGUGGGACGAUGUUUUAUGAAACAUCACCGGCUCCGGGGGGGCAAGCAAUGGAAAAUGACACAGGUUCCUCUCACACUUGUGUCACCAAGUGUUAUUCCAUUAACAGUUGUGAUGACCUACAUCAGUCUGAGAAUCCUUCAGAGGGGCUCUCCCCCUUUUUAUCUGCUUGAGAAUAUUGACUACUGCAAACUACAUAGUGGGGGUCUUUUAAUCUAACAGAGCUUUAAUAAUCUGUGAAAGGCUGUCCACACAUUGAUCUAGUGUAAGUUGCUGUCAUUUCACCCUUCUGCACCAACUGUACUGCAACACUGGGCCCGUGAAAUACGGCAGCAGAUCCCAUGGAGCCAUUAAUCUCUCCCACCCCUCAAAUAGUAAUCUGGGGCAUGAGGCAUAUUGGGCGAUGAAUCAGAGGCACAAAGUAAAUGAAUCAUAACCCAGACUUUGGUGAGAGCAGGGCGUUUUAUGUCUGACAGUCCUAAUGGGUAAUUGAAGGCUUCCUUACAGCUCCGCCUGAUUCUAAACAAUCAUGUGUACACUCAUAGGCAGGCCAAGGCGAGGGAAGGAGGGCAGAGGAGAGAAGGAGGGGAGGAAAGGAGGAGAGCAGUGUAAAGGGGGAAGGAACAACUUAAUAGAGAACAUCACUUCUCAAUGUAGAUAUCAUUUUCAGGAGAGUAACUCCGCCAAGCAAGGCGCUUCAUAAAUCAAUGGCUUUCUAUGGAGACUAAUAAGAGCUGCCUGCCUCUAUUCAUUGUUCAGCCUGUAAUUUGGCCCAUCACUCAUUACUCAGCAUGUAAUUUCAGCAUUAACACCGCACAGCUCGCUGAACCUGCUGAACACCAGAGAAUGUGAAAGCAAGCGAACGCCCCCCCACACACACACAGGCAGGCAGGGCCACUGAAGCACAAGCCAGGGAGUCACGGCAGGAAAAUGAACAUUUAUGUUUCUCACCCCGUCUUUUGUUCCCUCAUCAUCUAAAUACACAUGCAAGCAUGCUCACACACAACCUAUGGACACACACACACUACUCACGCAUACAUACAGUAGUCAUGUACUCACACACAUAUGUAUAAUCGAACACAUGCACCACUUCUGCCAAAACUUGAAUACAGUAAUUGCCAGCUCGACCGUGAUCAAAUGGAGCAAUUACGUGUUCAAGCAUGGACAAUGCAGGGUGCUAAUCGAUAGCAAGGAUCUAGCUUGCAAAUACAGUGGUAUUCAGCCCUGCUAGCCAGGCACACCUGGAUAAACCCCCCGCCACAACAACAUACACUGCUGGAAAUCUGAUUUGACAUGUCAUCAUGCGUCCCGAUACGACAAAGGUCUGCUUUGGAAUGUGGGGGAACGCCAUCUUCUCCUUAAUAAAGGAUUGAUCUGCCGUAUUGAUUGUACAUGACAAGGCUGUAGCAAGGAAUUUGCCCCCUUUCUUUUGUUAUUUCCACCCCCUUUCUUAUCUAUGCACUCUGGCAGUCCCGUACAUGUGUACAUGUGAACACACACAAGCAUGCAUAUAUGUGUGUGUGUGUGUGUGUGUGUGUGUGUGUGUGUGAGAGAGAGUGCACGUGCCCGGCUGAGAGAGUGUAUGUGCACGGCAGCCCUGCCAGACCUCGCUGCUCAGUGUGAUGUAAAUUGUGUAUGUGUAAAAAGCACUCCAUAAUCAGGCCAUCCAUCAUCAGAGGCUGUCAGUGGGCUCUCUCAGGGUGAUACAUCACGCUCUCCUGUCCUCUGCCUCAGCUGGGGCCUACACAACCCGCCAGGCAUGCUGGGAACACAGCCGGAGAGACGUACAGUACAGGACGAGACCUAGGUUGGGAGAGGUGUUCUGUGUGUGCCUUUCCAAUGAUAAUGAUGCCCUACUGUAAAUGCCAACCCAAGAAUUGUGAGGAAUGUGAUUUGGAGGGUAGGGUAUCUGGUACCCUUUAUCAGUGUUUUUUUACAGCUUAUAUACAGUAUUAAAUGCCUACAUAUGGAGGAAUUUAAAUGUGUCAAACAAAAGAAAAGUUUUAUUUAAACUUGUCUCAGUCUAGUUUUAAAACAUGGCUCAGUGUUCUGCAGUUGCAGUCCAAGCAUCAGGCGUGAUCUCCGCAUGUCGACAUGUCGCCAUCUCAUCUAUCAUGGAGAUGAUCUUUGUAACAACCCCAGCGUAAUGAAAUUGGUGACACAGGCCGCCAUCUGCUAUUGAUUUCAUGCAAAUGCUUUUGACAGCUGAUGGAGACUUGCAUUAGCACUAAACGGUGCUGUCAGUUGAUGAGUUGACAGUUUUGUAGUCAUAGCAUGUCCACUGGUGCAGACAGACACAGACAAUGUCAAUAAUCCUGUAAGAGCUGCUGAUGAUAUAUACUGAGCACUUAUAUUGAAUUUGGACAAUAAAUGUGUUACAUGUAUAUUCAUCGCAUUGCUCUGCACAUUUUUUCUUCCAAGCAAAGAUUUUCUUUCAUCUGCUGAGCUUUUACAAGAAUCAUUGGGACUACUCUUCUUACUUUUUCUUACACCACACACAUUGACAGCCCCUCCUCCCUUCUUCCCACCUCUACACCCUAUGUCUUUUUUAAUCCUUGGCACAUCAUUAUGUUCCAACUUCACAUUCUGUCGUAAACUUUACUCUAAAGAUAUAACAGGCAAAUAGCUCUGCGAUGCCCUUGCGUGACUCCAAGCAUGCCAAAAUUAGUUUGGCCCUCCUCGUCCCUCCAACACAAUAUGGUAAAAGAGGGGCGUGAGGGUGUGGAAGGAGCAUGCCCCCCGCCCCCUCCUGUAAGGGUUCUCAGUCGCUGCAAGGAAACAUGAAACCCUCCACACACAUCCCAUAAAUCUGCACUGGGUGGGUAGUCUAGCCAAGGGGAGGAGGGAGGAAGGUAGAGAGAACUGGGGGGAGGUAUGAUAGGGGGUGGGGGGGUCGUCACUGGCACGUUCCAGUCACGCCCGCUUCCCGGCUCGCGGCCAAUCAAUACCACUUUCCUGUUUUAGAGGCGGGUAAUUAUGAGGUGGAGAGAUUGUGUGACCUCUCACCCCUGCUGCAUUACUCGCCUGAUAUUAAGAUAAAUUGCCUGAUUUUGGGUAAACAUAUGCUGCAAUUCAAACUGUCAGCACUGGUUUGCUCAGGGAUAAUUUGUAUUGAUCUCAUGGCUUCUUCCCCAUUUUGCUUACUGACCUCAUGGAUAAUUAGAGAAAAAGAGACACGGGGAGGUAAGGCAGGGCUUGCAUUUGAAUACUUUGCAGGAGAGAUGAAGAGCACAUGGGAAGGGGGGCCGAGGGAACAUUAUGGACUAAUAGAAUUUUCAUUUUCUCUCAUUUUCUGUUCAGAUUUAGACAGGUUGCAUGUUUUGUUCAAUUACAACGUGUAUAUCUUUUCCUUGUGUGUGGUACAUAGACAGUGAUAAAAUUGUUCAUAGAUUUGUUUCCAUGGUUUAAUUUCAGAGAUGAUUAGAAUUUAACAAAAGUAAUGAGACUACAAAGUGACGGCAAAUAUCAAAUUUAACAGCUGAUAACCAAAAGAAUUAUUGCCAUAUUUGAGUAAAAGGAACAUAGUAACACAUUUCUUGACAAAGAAGGAGACUUGCUUCUUCUUCACGGAGGUUUGGAAGAACAUUUUUACGAAUAUUUCUAUUUAUUUUCUCACUCUAGAGAGUGAAUGAUCAUGUUUCAGAAUAUGAGGAAAUGGAAUGCAUGACUCGGUGUGCAGCUGUGACCAUAUCAUUUCCAAUUUUGAAUAUCACGCAUGCGCACAAGCAUUCAUGGCAGGGCUUCAGUGGAAUUCCUCUGCCUGGAAUGUGCACUUCCCAAUCUUAUUUAGAUCUGACGCCUUAAUCUGCCCGUCCUUUCAUGCUACAAACACAUUUUCUCUGAGAGCUCUAGCAGCCCCAGCUAGCCACUUUACUUAAAAUGUAGAGUGGAUGGCGUGUACAUGGCAUCUGAGUGUGGUCUGCUGCUCCUUCUCCAUGUUCUCUAGAAAUAGGACACGAGUAACCGCUCUACAGGAACAGUGUAACAUGGCCGACGUUGGCAGCCAGAAGUGCUUACAUGGCAAUACACCACUGUGUGCCCUCAGUCUAUAUGGAAGUGGAUUGAACACAUGUAUUGACUUACAGUAUCGGGGUAUAAACAUAGGGAAAUGUUUGAGCAAAGCAGUAAAUUUAAGGGAAAUUGUUCCUUGUUAAGUCUAUGAGCCUGAAUGGAAGCCUGCACAGAGUACUAGCAUUCCUGCCAGCCAUUACAGCUUAUUACGAUAACUCUAUCUUUCCAGGAGAUAAAAACCUAGCCUUGUUGCCAUUUGCCAGCUAUUACUUUCGCUAAUUAUACUUAACUGCUUCGAGCUUAUCUCCACUCCUCCUACACCAUUGAGCAGUUAUUUUUUUCUUUCCCCUUAACACAAAUUAGAGGUGGAGUGGGAGUUGGAAAGGGGGAGACAGAUAAACAGCACAGGCAGAAGUUCAUUCAAGUGUUAUUGCAUUUGUGACUUGUCAAACAGUCUAACUGAAGCCUUCUAGGCACCUGCGGUCUGUUAGAUGGAUGCAGUUCAGAACAGCAUCAACACACAUAAUGACCUUGUCUUGCUGAUGUUCAGCAGAGUCUACUGGAGACAUAGAAAGAGUGAAUAUCUUCUCAGUGUUGCUAUAAGGAGUUAAACAUGAAUACUGUGCAUACAAAGACGGUAAGAUAUUCAGAGGUCAUGCUACUGCUCCACAGUAUAGAUAUGUUCCAGUGUUCACAGAAAAGAAAACACGCAUGCAGAUGUAGAGACCAUCUUCAAAAAACCAAACCAAGCCAAAUUGGAAUUUUCACAGCAAACCCACGCAAAGCAAACCUCAUCUGUUUUAACACUGACCAUAUCAUCUCCAUCCACUGCAGCCAGUUAUCACUGAGUGAUUCCAUCUCCAGCAGUCUCAAGAUGAACAGGAAAUUAAAAUUUCAAAGAUCUGCAGUUAGGAUAAAUCAAUGGAGACAGAUCAAUGUUCAUUGAAAUUUCAUGAACUUUGAGCCAAUACAGAUGAAAAAACCUAGACAGUUACAGUCUCCAGCAGAUAUUGCUCCUGCAACAGAUAAAAUGUAAUUAACACGGUUAAAAGGGAGCAAUGUUACAGAUUGUACAUCCAUAAUUUCAGACUCCCUUCAUAUCGGUCGUAUUAUUAGAAAGGGCCAAAGACACCUGUUCAAUCCUCUUAGAUGACAUCUAAAGUAUGUGUGCCACUUCUCUAAGGACGUCGGCGGACUUUCACACAUUACUGGCCAACAGAAAUCAAAUGGGUUCCCUUCACAGCUGAUUGCAAGCGCAAAUUAAUAUUGUAAAAUGAAGAUCAAUACAUGGACGGGGCACAGAUCGAUGACGGCUAAAUUACGGCCGCGUUUUCCCCCUCAUUCAAGAUGAGUUGUGUUUUCCUCUCAAAGUCAAUACCGUGCUGCCUCCCUCAUUCAUUUCUCAAUAAACUUGCCGAUGAAUUUCAAUCAAAAUGCAGCAGUGGAGGAGGAGGAGGGGGUGGGUGGAGUUCUUUUAAAGCCCGUUGGGUGUGGAUCAUACUGAAAAUGGGGCAAGAAAAGGAGGUAGAGAAAGGAGGAGGAGGAGAAGGAGGGAAAGAUCCUCGUCUAUCAAGAGCCCCCCUCCCUGCCUCCUCCGUCUAUCUUUCCUGUGGCAGAGGACUGAUGCUGUGACUUAGUGAGGACAAUCCAUUUUAAGAGCCAUUACAAAACAGACCUCUAACGAUACUGUGGGACAAAAAGUGGGUCCAAUUAAAAUUAAAUCAAUGAAUACCAUCCUUACUGGGAGAAAAAACACACAGCCAUACUUUCAUUUUUCUCUUGAAGGAUACCCACAAUAUAUUUCACAGAGAGAUGUAAUGGGGGGAAAUACAUGCUCAACUGCAAGUACUUAUUUCAAUCAAUUUCCUGGAGCUGGAUUUCACAGGUCACUUGCUGAUAACACGCUGUGGAAUAAUGCCACAGUGUGCUUCUCAAAGCCUACCUGACAAGCUGCCUGACAGUGGGGGAGUGCGAGCAUGUGUCACGUCAGCCCUUUAAUUGAGCACAAGGACCUUCCUCCGUGGAACCUUGUCGCGCUCCACACAAGCUCACAAGGCCUUCAAACCAAUCCCAUCUAACUUGGCAAAGAGUGUCUGCUCCACUCCUGUGGAGCUAGUGCUAAAUACCAGAGUUGUAAUGAGACAGGCAGGUAUGGGGAUAUGGCUAGUGGAUAACGUGCUUUGACACAUGCUAAAACUGUUGUGCCAACUGGUUACAACCCACUUGACUGUGGCGAUGACAUUUAUAAAUGCCUAUUUCAUUCUUACUUGCAGCACUUCAUACUGCAGUCAUUUUUUUUAUCUGCAGAUAAAUGGACUCAAAUCCGAAAUGCGGUGUGUAGUAGAUUUAGGGAUUUUAAAUUUUCAAUACUUAUAUGUAGUAUUUGGUGUGUGUGUUUAAGUCCUCCUCCAAAGCUAAUGUGUUUACAUACCUCCUUGAAUGCUUUUGAUUAUAGCAUAUCUUUGUUGUAGGCCACACCCCAUCACUGACCAGCAACCAACGGCGUACCAAACCCAACCCUGCAGGACAGGAAAUGAAAAGGAAGCUCUCCAUCUGAUCAGCUUCUGAGUCUGGGACUUCAAAGUGACGGCAGGGCGGAGCAGAGACGUCUGACAUUUCUUGAUCUCCACCAGUAUUGAGUGAAGCACACAUGACCCCUUUGUCCUUAUGUUGAUGAAUGACUGCCUCAUACCCAUUUUGUCAGAUUUUGUUGCAGUGGAGUCGAUAGCGUCACCUUGACAAGGAAAGUUUGUGAUCCAUCAGCCCUCAAGGCUGUCUGGACUCAAACUAAGGCCUGGCAAGAGCAGUUCACUGCAUGGGGCAUCUACUCCAUCCAAAAUCCUUCACCCAGUGUGCUGCGAUCUUGUGAGGUCGAACGAAUGGCUCUGAUUACUACCGCUUUACAGUGAGGAAGAAAAAAGAAAAAAGGAAAAAACACUUGACUUGUACUAAUAGCUGAGAAGCCAUGCUGGUCACCAAAGGUCUGAAGACGAAGCACCCUGUCAGUGCCCAGCUUGGGAAAUUAGCAAAUAAUGUUCCCUUCCCCCUGACAAAUGUGUGACAGCUCGCCUUCGCCAAUCAUUCUCUCCUAACGUUAUGAUGCAUGUCCUGGAUCCCCACUGGAGGAUACAGGCGAAGUUUACUGACCCUCAAUUUACCCAUGACAAAUGGGGUCCCGGUAAAUGUGCGUUUUCUGGGGCGCGGAAGGGGUUCAUUUUAAGCAAUCCUGGUUAUGUGGAUGUCACUGAUUAGGAUAAAUAGUGCCUGAGUGUGUUAGGACUGCUUGCAGAACCAUAUUACCAAGGGCCUGCAUCAUUGCCCCUGGAGGGGAGCUCUCGUGGAAACUUGGCCAAGAUAGAAAACCAAAAGCUCUGAUGCAAUUAGGAGCUUAAAUUGGAUAAAUUGUAUGGUCAAAGUUUUUAUUUAUGAUUUACUCUUUCUUACAGUACUGUAACUAUGCAGUAAAAAGGUUAAGGUGCUGCAAAUGAGGCUGAAAAUUGAGACUUUUUCUUCAAGAAAUAUCUGAUCAAACCAGCAUGUACUGUUUGCAGUGCUUAAUAAAGUGGAAAGUAUAAUAAAGUAUUGACCUCAGGUACA